rnacentral:lncRNA from 1 species
UAGAAAAUACAAAAAGACCAAUGGAGCAUAAUUUACAACAAAUCCUUUUAUCCAUAAUAAAUCAUUUACCAUCCACUUACCUCGGUGAAAUUCAUAAAAUAAUAUACGAAAGCAAUAACAUUAUCAUCAUCAUGAAAUCAUAUAAACUGUAUAACAUAAUACUUAUCACGCCAUUUUGUAAUUCAAUCAUUACAGAACAUAUUUUCCUCAUUUACCAACCCACUAGUAUCCAUGGGGAUCCAUAGGGGUCCCGUUACCUGUUAACCCUUAACACUUGAA